GCUACAGGCGGUGGCGUGCGCCUGCAGUCCCAGCUACUCAGGAGGCUGAGACAGGUGGAUUGCUGGAGUUUAGGAGUACUGGGCUGUAGUGGGUGCUAGGCUGAUCAGGUGUCCGCCCUAAGUUCGGCCUCAAUAUGGUGACCUCCCAAGAGCAGGGGACCAUCAGGUUCCCUAAGGAGGGAUGAACCAGCCCAGGUUGGAAAUGGAGCAGGUUAAAACUUCUGUGCUGAUCAUUAGUGGGGUCGCGCCUGUGAAUAGCCACUGCACUCCAGCCUGAGCAACAUAGUUAGACUCUUUCUCUG
rfam:Otolemur garnettii contig116321, whole genome shotgun sequence.